rnacentral:rRNA from 1 species
GAUGAACGCUGGCGGCGUGCCUAAUACAUGCAAGUAGAACGCUGAAGGAAGGAGCUUGCUCUUUCCGGAUGAGUUGCGAACGGGUGAGUAACGCGUAGGUAACCUGCCUGGUAGCGGGGGAUAACUAUUGGAAACGAUAGCUAAUCCCGCAUAACAGUAGAUGUUGCAUGAUAUCUACUUAAAAGGUGCAAUUGCACCACUACCAGAUGGACCUGCGUUGUAUUAGCUAGUUGGUGAGGUAACGGCUCACCAAGGCGACGAUACAUAGCCGACCUGAGUGGGGGGUCGGCCACACUGGGACUGAGACACGGCCCAGACUCCUACGGGAGGCAGCAGAAGGGAGUCUUCGGAAAUAGACGGGAGUCUGAACGAGCAACGCCGCGUGAGCGAAGAAGGUUUUCGGAUCGUAAAGCUCUGUUAUAAGUGAAGAGAGAGAGUGAGAGUGGAAAGUUCACACUGUGACGGUAUCUUACCAGAAAGGGACGGAUAACUACGUG